UGGUCUGAUGAUGACUAUCCGUGGCCUAUGGGUUGUGUAUGAUGAAUAUGUGUCUGGAGCUCUGAUGCAAA